GAAAUGCGAUAAGUAAUGUGAAUUGCAGAAUUCAGUGACUCAUCGAAUCUUUGAACGCACAUUGCGCCCCCUGGUAUUCCGGGGGGCAUGCCUGUUCGAGCGUCAUUUCACCACUCAAGCCUCGCUUGGUAUUGGGCGACGCGGUCCGCCGCGCGCCUCAAAUCGACCGGCUGGGUCUUUCGUCCCCUCAGCGUUGUGGAAACUAUUCGCUAAAGGGUGCCGCGGGAGGCCACGCCGUAAAACAACCCCAUUUCUAAGGUUGACCUCGGAUCAGGUAGGGAUACCCGCUGAACUUAAGC
rnacentral:misc_RNA from 1 species